rnacentral:rRNA from 1 species
AGAGGUUGAUCCUGGCUCAGGACGAACGCUGGCGGCGUGCUUAACACAUGCAAGUCGAGCGGAAGGCUUCGGUACUCGAGCGGCGAACGGGUGAGUAACACGUGAGUAACCUGCCCCAGACUUUGGGAUAACCCUCGGAAACGGGGGCUAAUACCGAAUAUACAUUUCACCGCAUGGUGGUUUGUGGAAAGUUUUUCGGUUUGGGAUGGACUCGCGGCCUAUCAGCUUGUUGGUGGGGUAAUGGCCUACCAAGGCGAGGACGGGUAGCCGGCCUGAGAGGGCGACCGGCCACACUGGGACUGAGACACGGCCCAGACUCCUACGGGAGGCAGCAGUGGGGAAUAUUGCACAAUGGGCGGAAGCCUGAUGCAGCGACGCCGCGUGAGGGAUGACGGCCUUCGGGUUGUAAACCUCUUUCAGCAGGGACGAGCAUGACGGUACCUGCAGAAGAAGCGCCGGCCAACUACGUGCCAGCAGCCGCGGUAAGACGUAGGGCGCGAGCGUUGUCCGGAUUUAUUGGGCGUAAAGAGCUCGUAGGCGGCUUGUCGCGUCGAAUGUGAAAUCUCGGGGCUCAACUCCGAGCUUGCAUUCGAUACGGGCAGGCUAGAGUUCGGUAGGGGAGACUGGAAUUCCUGGUGUAGCGGUGAAAUGCGCAGAUAUCAGGAGGAACACCGGUGGCGAAGGCGGGUCUCUGGGCCGAUACUGACGCUGAGGAGCGAAAGCGUGGGGAGCGAACAGGAUUAGAUACCCUGGUAGUCCACGCUGUAAACGUUGGGCGCUAGGUGUGGGGGACUCUCCUCUUCUGCGCCGCAGCUAACGCAUUAAGCGCCCCGCCUGGGGAGUACGGCCGCAAGGCUAAA